ACGCCUAACACAUGCAAGUCGAGCGCUCUAACCACUUCGGUGGGGACGGGAGCGGCGGACGGGUUAGUAACGCGUGGGAACAUACCCUUUUCUACGGAAUAGCCUCGGGAAACUGAGAGUAAUACCGUAUACGCCCUUUCGGGGGAAAGAUUUAUCGGUUAAGGAUUGGCCCGCGUUAGAUUAGUUAGUUGGUGGGGUAACGGCCUACCAAGACGACGAUCUAUAGCUGGUUUGAGAGGAUGAUCAGCAACACUGGGACUGAGACACGGCCCAGACUCCUACGGGAGGCAGCAGUGGGGAAUCUUAGACAAUGGGCGCAAGCCUGAUCUAGCGAUGCCGCGUGAGUGAAGAAGGCCUUAGGGUCGUAAAGCUCUUUCGCCUGUGAUGAUAAUGACAGUAGCAGGUAAAGAAACCCCGGCUAACUCCGUGCCAGCAGCCGCGGUAAUACGGAGGGGGUUAGCGUUGUUCGGAAUUACUGGGCGUAAAGCGUACGUAGGCGGAUUAGUAAGUGAGGGGUGAAAUCCCAGGGCUCAACCCUGGAACUGCCUCUCAUACUGCUAGUCUUGAGAUCGAGAGAGGUGAGUGGAAUUCCGAGUGUAGAGGUGAAAUUCGUAGAUAUUCGGAGGAACAUCAGUGGCGAAGGCGGCUCACUGGCUCGAUACUGACGCUGAGGUACGAAAGUGUGGGGAGCAAACAGGAUUAGAUACCCUGGUAGUCCACACCGUAAACGAUGAAUGCCAGACGUCGGGUAGCUUGCUAUUCGGUGUCACACCUAACGGAUUAAGCAUUCCGCCUGGGGAGUACGGUC
rnacentral:rRNA from 1 species